rnacentral:lncRNA from 1 species
UUUUUUUUUUUUUAAAAAAAAACUUAUCAAAUUUAAGUAAUUUUUGUUUCAAGAACAAAUUGCCCCCUUUGUGGCUGCAGAAACGCUCUACUUUUGGCAUUAUAACCUUCACUAGUCACUCGAACUGAAACACAAGGUCAUGAAUCUAUCACUUAAAAUGAUCAUCCGUAAGUUUCGUUUCUCGAUCUUCCUCAUGAAAUUCUACAAAUAUUCUAGGAAAGGUUCCAAGUCGGGGAUACUAUUGUUCAAAGUUAAACUGGAAUUGAAGGUAAAUUGCGCUUAAAUCAUGGGACUGAGGGACGAAACAGAAAAUUAAGAACUCAGAAAGCCAGAAACUUCAAGAAGCUGAAUGAGGAACAUAUGUAGAUAAAUGAUGCUAUCAAUUUUACCUGCACUUGUAACGAUGUUAGAGAUGCUCAAUUAGGGGAAGCAAAAGAAGAGAAGUCGAGUACCGGGUCCGAAAUUUCGCUAUCCGAAACAUUCGAUUUUAGGUGAUAUUCGUACAUAUGUGAGUUGGUCCUAUGGGCAUCUCUUUGUCGACCUUUGUGGUAAACCAAGCUCCUUCUGAGCCCUAUUUGCUCACUGGUGUCGGGUGCUUGUAUAACACGUUUGGCACAUGUCUCUUUCCAAAACCCGCACUGGGUCUUCCUCUUCCUCUUAUGACCACGGGGACAAAAGAAGAAACACUCGUUUCCAUCCAACGGGAGACUUGACAAUUCUACAAGCAAAGAUUGGUUCAAUGGUAAUCCACUAAGGUCUUACGGGUAACUACAAAUUACCGUCAAACCAUAAGAAAAUAGAGAAAUUGAGAACACUUGAGGACUAAAUGUAAGUUACCAUUGUAUCGUGCAAAUAACUCUGAAGGCUCCAAGUUGUAGAUGUCUAGCUCGGGAAUUUCACAAACAGUUUCCUUUCCUUUGAGCUUUUUUGUCAAGUAAUGACCGACAAGCUGGUCCUCCGUCGGUUUGAAUCUGACUCCCACCGGCCAUGCCCUCGCCGAUUCUGCCAUGCUAUAUGGUUGCUAUCUCACGUUCACUUCUGCAAUUGAAAAAAGAGGAAAAGAGUAGAGAAUGGGGCUAUUGAGAUAAGCGAGGCAUAGAAUAAAAACAGAGGAAAGAGAGUUUACUCUUGACUUUACUUUGCUUGAGAGUGUGGUAUCCCAAGCCCUUCCAAGUGGGUCUUCUCAACCCUUGUUUGAGAAGGCAAACUACUUUUCCAGUGGAUCCCACCUCAAGCUCAAGACCACGUCGUUUUCUAAAAGUAGCUUCUUCAAAAAUCCACAACGCAUAUGUAACUUGGUUAAUCAGACCCACUUGUUUGUUUUAGCCAAUGGGAAGAUAUGAUAGAUAGCCACAUGACCUUGAAUAUGCAUGAAUAAGCAUAUGAUGGUAUGAAGUUCAACAGUGUUUCUUUAGUAAAGAAGACUCUAGAAUUUCAUGUGUGUUACCAUGGUAAUCAUAAUAUGAAGCCGUGUGAAGUGUUUCCUUAGUCAAGAAGAUUCUAGAAUUCCAUGUAACAUGCAUAGUGGGAACAAUGACGUUGAAAGUGAGAGAGAUAAGAUUCUCCCUAGUACAAUACACACAAAAGCACAACUGAUUUCUCUUUAUAUAUUAUAUGCAUAAGCAAAACUUAGAUGCAUGUUCUUGACAAACAAGUUUAGCUUCUCAUCAGAAUUUAGAACUUUUGCCAUUUUAAAACUUUUUUAUAAAGUCGCCAUCGGAUGUGAUAUAACUUGUAAGUGCAAUUGUUUAGUUACAUAACUAAUUCUGACACAUGCCAUCUUUCCAGUCAUCAUGAAUAUAAAAGUUGGUUCAUUAUCAAUGGAUUCAAUGAUUUACCAAUUCUACCCAACAUUUGAUUGCCAACCUUAUAUAAGUUAGUAGUUGUUGUAUGAAGGAACGUAUUAGUAACUUUUCCAAUUAAAGUGGCUAAGUUUCAUAUUGAGGUAAUAAACUUUGGAUAUUAUGUAUAUUUUCUUAAAUCAUAGUUGAUUAGAUUAUGCCUGUAAACUUAGAAGAGGAAUGAUAAUUGUUGAAACAAAGUUUGUGUAUCCAUAUGUGUAUCAAUUUAAAUUGUUAAAAAAAUAUAUCUCGAGUUUAAGCUUGUGAAAUGAAAUCCUAAUUAAAUAUAAAUGUUUCCGAAGGUCCAAAAGUUCAAGUUAUAUUUCCAUGUUUAGAGGAAUUCGAUCAUUCUAUGCCCAAAAAAGUAGGGAUUUUUUUUUUUUUGGCCCCAAAAAUUCUUGUACAGAACCCCCACCAAUGGCAAGACCAAGACUUUAUUACAUAAAUUUCAAACCUUUAUGACUUGAUUACACUUGUUUAGAUAUUUAGGAUUUGGUUGCUUUUUUUUUUUCUUUUUUGUACUUAGGACAAUACAAUUUUCACAGGAAGAAAUUUAAACUGUGCACAUGUCUUUGCGAGCAUAAUUCAUUGUCUAAAAACAUAUUAGAAAAUUUGCAUUAGUUAAUUAUUGAUCUUUUCAGAAAUCUUGUGAUUUUUAUAAAUACAUCUUCUCUCCCCCAAAAUCAUGCGAGGAAUGUAUAUUGACGUUCUCUGAACUGGCAACACCUAAAAGUUCCAUAGGGUAUACAUGUUGAUACAUAAUUUUUAGAGUUAGUUUGUUUCACAGAAAAUGAAUAAUUUAAAAUUUUUUUUUUUAAAUGAUCAUUUGUAUCGCUUACAAAAUUAAAUGAAUGAAAAUAUUUUUUAUUGCCCACAAAAAUAUUUAAAUAUAAAUUGUUGUUGAUAAUGAAAAUAUCUUUCAUCAACUAUUUAUUUCAAGCAAUUAUUUUUUAAAAACAUUUUUCGAAUCAUUCAUUUUUCCCAAUUUCCCAAAACAAACAAAGCCUUAACGGUAAAUCAUUGAUUUUUGCUUUAUAAAAAGCACAAACAAGUUUUCUAACUUGUGGGGUCAUGACAGAAAAACAGUUGUUUUAUUUAUUUUUUCUCUCGCAAGCCAUGAUCUAUGACUGCCAAUGUUGUCUGUGGCUGACCGGUUUAUUGCGCCCAGCUUGUAAAUCCUCGAAAACCUGUUCCGUGGUCACAGUCCAUUUAGCAUAUUUAACCCGUUUCGAAACUCAAAGCCAUUUAGGAAAUUAAUCUACUUAGUCAUUAAUUUUCAGAAAUCCCAAGAUUUCAUCUUCUGUUCUAUCGUUCUCUGCCCUCCAACUCAAGGUAGCCUGAUUGAGCAGGAGGGUUGAUGUUGAUGCCACUCACUCACGAUGACCCCAUCAUCCAGCAUAUUCCAAAGUAAUACAGAAAGUGAGUAGUGGAACCGUAUUCAGUUCUGUUCUGUUCCCGUUCCAUUUCCAAAGCGAAAGAAAAUACAUUAAUCAAACUGAUUACAAUGUUGCAGACAUUGCAGACCCACUAUGCAACAGACAAUACUUAAACAAGCACAAAGCACAAUGACUGAACCAUAUUCAUCUCAAUAUAUCAUGAGUAUAAUAUAAGACAUGUUCAUGGCUUACAGGAGAUGAAAAGAAGGUACGAUGGCAUCCUGUGGUAAAAGAAGACAGAGCAUCUAAGAACGUAGGACUGAUUCUGGGGUUUUGCAAAAGGGGUUUUCAUUUAUCAAUGUUUGGGCUAAGAAUCCUGUGAUUUAUAUACGCUCUUUUAUACAAUCUUCAGAGGAGAUGAGUACUGAUUAGCAUAUUGUAGGCAAUCAUCAUUUGAGAAUAUGCCAUUAUCUGCUCAUACUGACUGUAUUGUACAUAUAUCGGAAUUCAGAUCGAAAAUUGAUUGUGCAUAGAAAGAAGAGGAAAUUUGAAAUGAGGAACAUGCCUUCUUGACAAGAAAAAAAAGGUCAGAAAGUUCAUUGUGCUCCACAAUAAGCAAAUGAAAACUAGGUGGCAUAUGGCUUUACAAGCAUCUCCAGCUACAUAGAUAGCCUUGUCGACAUAUCUUCAAAUUUUGAUUAGAAAUACAUGGAUAGCCUCUUUUGAGAUAUCUUGACAUUCUCAAAACUGCUUUGGUUGAGGUGUCACAUAAGCAAGGAUCAGAUUAACAUUUACAGAAGUCUUCAAACACUGGCAAUAUCACUCUAGUUUGGCAUACUAUUCAGUGCUCUCAUCAAAGUUAAAGAGAUCCGCGAGAUCGAUACAGUCACUUUGAGAUAUGGCAUGAAACAAUGUCCAUUGCCAGGUUCGUCAUCGUGCUCAUGAUUAUCAUGAGACAAUGCUGCUCUUCAGUUGUAUGAGGCUGCUGAUCAGGAGUAGGCAAAUUCCGGUCCGGUAAAUUAAAAUUCGACAUCUCGUUUGGUGGGAGGUCAACAGUAACUUCAGGAGAUGUCUGAGUGACAAAAAACAAAAAAAGAAGAAGAAGGAACAAUCAGUACUCGAGCUUUAGUGUAGUUAGUUCUGUCUCUAGAUCACAUGUUCCUUCGUAUCAAUCUAAAGCAACGUUUUCCCACCUGUUCACUCAUAUCUUGUGUUUCUUCAAUUUGGGAAUCAUUCAGAUUGCUAGGGCCGCUUAACUCGGUUGACGUACUCGGUGUUUCUGGCUUUGCUUUCUCUUUUUUCCUGUUUUUUAUGUGACAAAGAACCAACGCCGUCUGCAAAGACAGAAUGAUCCCAGGGAUGAGCUUCAGGGUUGCAUAACCGAAACUCGAUUGUUGUACGAAAGUACUUUUUGCACAAGAAAAAUCACGCGUCACUUAUCAAAAUUGAAGUAAUUCUUUUUUCAUGAACAAAUUGCCCCCUUUGUUGCUGCAAAAUCAGUUUCGGCAGUAUAACCUUCACUAGUCACUACCACUAAAACACCAGUCACGAAUCUCUCUUAAAAUGAUUCUCUGUAAGUUUGAUUUCUCGAUCUUACUCAUGAAAUUCUACAAAAUACUGUGGUAAAGGUUCUGACUCAUGGAUACUAGUGUUCGAAGUUCAACUGGAAAUGAAGGUAAAUCACGCUUAAAUAAUAACGAGACAGAGGAAGGAACUAGAAAAUAAUGAACUCAGAAAGCUAGAAACUUCAAGAAGCUGAAUGAGAAACAUGUGCAGAGAAAUGAUGAUGAUGUCAAUUUUACCUGCACUUGUAACCAUGUUAGAGAUGCUCAAUUAGGGGAAGCAAAAGAAGAGAAGUCGAGUACCGGGUCCAAUAUUUCACUAUCCGAAACAUUCGAAUUUAGGUUAUAUAUGUGCAUGCCCAAGUUGGUCCUAUGGGCAUUUCUUUGUCGACCUUCGUGGUAAACCAAGCUCCUCCUGAGCCCCAUCUCUUCAGCGCUGUCCGGUGCUUUUAUAACACGUUUGGUACUUGUCUCUUUCCAAAAUCCACACGGGGUCUUCCUCUUACGACCACGGGGACAAAAGAAGAAACACUCGCUUCCAUCCGAUGGUAUACUCGACAAUUCUAUAACCAAAGAUUGGUUGAAUGUCAAUUCACAAAGGUCUCAUAGGUAACGCUCAAUUACCAUCAAAACAAUAAGAAAAUAGAGAAAUAGAGAAUACUAAGGACUAAACGUAAGUUACCAUUGUAUCGUGCAAAUAACUCCGGAGGCUCCCAGUUGUAGAUGUGUAGCUCGGGAAUUACACAAAUAGUUUCCAUUUCUCCUCUGAGCUUCUUUGUCAAGUGAUGACCAACAAGCUCGUCCUCCGUCGGUUUGAAUCUGAGUCCCACCGGCCACGCCUCCAUCGAUUCUGCCAUGCUAUAUGCUUGCUAUCUCACAUUCACUUCCGCAAUGGAAAAAAGAGGAGAAGAGUAGACAAUGGGGCUGUUGAGAUGAGAAGAGGAAGAGAAUGCAAAGAGGGGAAACAGAGGUUACUCUUGGCUUGGCUUUGCUCUGGGAGUGCUGACUGCAAACACUUCCAGGCAAGUCAAUUUAUAAUCACAAAACGACAAGUAAUUUUCUCGACCCUUGUUUGAGAAGGCAAACUAGUGUUUGAGAGGAUCCCACCUCAAGCUCAGGACGAUGACAUUGUCAUUACAAGAAGCUUCUUCGAAGUCCGCAACGCGUAUGNNNNNNNNNNNNNNNNNNNNNNNNNNNNNNNNNNNNNNNNNNNNNNNNNNNNNNNNNNNNNNNNNNNNNNNNNNNNNNNNNNNNNNNNNNNNNNNNNNNNNNNNNNNNNNNNNNNNNNNNNNNNNNNNNNNNNNNNNNNNNNNNNNNNNNNNNNNNNNNNNNNNNNNNNNNNNNNNNNNNNNNNNNNNNNNNNNNNNNNNNNNNNNNNUAGAAUUUCCAGCGACAUCGAGAGUGGAAGAGAUCAAAGAAAAGAUUCUCUUGAGAAAAGAUUCUCCUUGGCACGAUUCCAAAGCACUAUCGUUUCUCUUUAUAUAUUAUAUGCAUAUUAAUCUACAACAGGAUUGUGAACUUUAAGAAAGUAUUCAGUGAUCACCUACUACCACAUCGUAGGCUGAUGUGGUAUGCUUUUUGUUUUUUUAAAGCCAAUCACAAGUUGCCACCUAGUGAUGAGAUGGACAUAAAUUAAAAAAUUUGAAAACUCACUCCCAUUUUUUUUCUACUCCGUUCACUGCGCUCUGCCGGUGGCCUUGGACCUCGGAUUUCCAGAUUUUCCCGAGCGUCGACAACUCUGCCGGUGGCCAUGGCCGAGCCACUCCGUCUGUUGUCGGGUUGGCUCGCUGCCGCGCCACCCACGAGCACACAUCGUCGCGGCGGCUCAUCCAUGGCUAGAUCUAGAGCCAUGAGCACGCGAAGCAAGAACAGCAGGAGCAGUACGAGGUGUAGGAAAUCUGGGUUCAUCUUCUCUCUGCUGUACAGGUUGAUUGUUGCAGCAGUAGGAUGUGGAGGUAGCUGGACGGUGAGAAGGAUCCCAGGGCAGCGUCGUUUGGGGCUCCAGAUCUGGAAAUCUGAGGGUUGCAGCAAGGUACCAUUUUUAUUUAUUUAUUUAUUUAUAGUGUUGAGAUCAUAAAAAUUUCAAACUGAUUAAUUUUUUUUAUCAUCAAAAAUCUGAAAAUAGUAUUUAUGUGACAAAUUUAUCUUAAAUGACCACAAAAAACCAUAAACUCAUAUAUAUAUGACAAAUUUAUCUAAAAUUAAUUUGUUCAACGGCAAAAAAAUCUUCAAACUGACAUAUUUGUGACAAAUAUACUCUAAUUUAAAUUUGAUUAAUAUCACAAAAAUGGUACAAUUAUAAUAAACAGAAAGUAAAAUUGCAAAUUGAUACACCAGUUAACUAUCACGUAUUAUUACAUUUAGCAAUUUAAUAGUAAAAUUUAACAUAAACUAAUAGAAGGUAAAUUUGUCAUAUGCGUAUCAGUUUAGAAUUUUUCAGAAUAUUAAAUUUUUUUUUUUUUAUAUUUAUCCAAGUCAUCCACGUGUCGAGUUGUGAUUGGAUUUUGCUAAAAUAUACAUACCAUGUUAGCCUAUAAUAUGACAAUAAGUGACCACUGAAUACUUCCUUAUAAAGUUAAGGGGAAAACAAAUUGAAGGGUAGAGUCGUACAUUGUAGUAAACCUUAGAUGCAUGUUCUUCUUGACUAAAGAUUUUAGAUUCUUAUGAAUAUUUAGAACCUUAUCAUUGUAAAAUUGUCCUAUAUAGCAAAUGUUUAGCUCCGUAAGUAAUUCUUAGGUACACAUGUCGUCUCUCUGAUGAUUGUCAUGAAAAAAAAAAAAAAUCUCGUUUACUAUCAAUUGGAUUUGACUUUUACUAAUUCUAUCACAUGUUUAGACUCCAUUUGUUUUGCAAAAAAUGUGAUAUUUCUAGAAAAUAUUUUUUAUGAAGUUAUUUCCUAGGAAAAUGAUAAUAUUUUUUAGUGUUUGGCUGAAACUUGAAAAUGAAGUGAAGAAUAUUUUUCAUUAUUGGAUAUGGAAAAUCUAAUUUGAUUUUUCUAAAUAAAAAUACACUAGUCGGAUGCUAAUAACUUGCAUAUGGAUAGCUGAGAACUAAGUAUAGGCAUUAGAGUAUCUAGUUUGGCCGCCAUGGACCUUGACCUGGGCUCUAGGGAUUGGGGCACAAUCACCUAGUCCCUUGUCCAACCUUGAUGGACUUGAGUGCGGGUAGUAGGAUCUUGGGCUUAGCCUCGAUGGACUAAAGCCCAGGUGUUAGGGAUCUAAGCUUAGGUAUAGGAUCCCAUACUUGGCCUUGAAACCCAAGCCUUGGACCCUGGCUUAGGUUCCAAGGCAUCAGGCACAGGCACCAAGGCUUCAUGGUUGGCCUCCAUUGACCUAGGCAUGAGCUUUAAGGCCUAGGCAUAAGCAUUGGGGUCUUGGGCUCUGCCCUGAUGGACCCUAAGCGAGGGCUCGGGAUCUAGGCAUGAGCAUUGGGUCUUGGGCAUGGGCACUGAGGUCACAGCCCGGCCUUGAUGGACUUGAGCCCAAAUGCUGGAGAUUUAGUCAUUGACGAAGGGGACCUAGGAAUUAGCAUUGGAAUUUUGGUGCCUAAGCAUAGAGUUUUGAAACAAGCGUCAGUACCGAGUUAUAUUCUUAAAUAUCAAUUUUAGUUUUUUAAAUUCAAAAUCAUAUUCUUGAAAUUAAGCAUAGGUUUUCUGUUGACUAGAAAUUUUUUUUUCAUUGACCCAUUUUUCUAAGUGAACCAAAUGCCGUAAAAUGGGGAAAAUGUUUUUUCUAAAAAUAAUUUCCACCAAACAAAUGAAUCCUUAAUUACCAACAUUGUAUUAACUUUUAGGAUUGCCCGAAGGAAUGUAUUGGUAACUUUUCCAUUAAGGUAGUUAAAUUUGACAUCGAGGUAAAAAAAAAACUUUGAAUUUGAUAUGUUUCUUUAAAUCAUAGUAGAUUAGAUUGUGCUUUUGAAAUUAUAAGAGGAUUGAUAAUUUUCAUUUUCUUUUGGCUUCUCUCUCUUAUCUGUUAUAAAUGGCUCGCAUGUGCGGGCUUUGUAAGAUGAAAUUUUAUGUAUGCAAAAAAUGGAAUUUUUUUAUGCCAUUAGUCUUAUCUACUCAAAUAAUUUGCAACCUCAAUGUCAUUACUCACUUCAGAUAUUGCACUAUAAAUACUUUUUACAUGUGAAAAACAGUUCAUCANNNNNNNNNNNNNNNNNNNNNNNNNNNNNNNNNNNNNNNNNNNNNNNNNNNNNNNNNNNNNNNNNNNNNNNNNNNNNNNNNNNNNNNNNNNNNNNNNNNNNNNNNNNNNNNNNAAGUUAUAUUAGUUAUGUAGAUGCUAUAAAUUUAGAUAUUAAAAAACAUAUCCAUCAACAUCUAAUAGAUUCAUCAUAAUGUUGUUUAGAUUAGGCAAAAGUUGCACCGAAAGUGCUUGAAGUCAAUGUGCAAUCAAGUCCUACAUGGUUUGAAUAAAAUAAAAUCAAGUCCUUCUAGCAAUGGAUCAGGCAAAUUUGCUGACUUGGCCCGCUGGAAUCCAAUGUGUCGUUCUCUAGUAUAUCUAGGAUACGUGGAACCACGUGAUAAAAGUCAAAUUUUCUUUUCAAAAAAGAAAAUCAAUGAAAUAAAAGGAAAAGACCAUCAAAAACCCCAAAUUUUACUUAAAGUGACAAUUUUACCUCAAUGUUUUUUUUUUUUGUAAUAUGAAAAACCCUGAACUUCGCCAACCGUGACACAUUUAUUCCAAACUUUUUUUCGUGACACAAAAAAUCAUGAAUUUCUAUUCGUGUGACACAUUUACCCUAAACUAUAGGGCAUUUUGAUCUUUUUUCUUUUUUCUUUUAAAAAAAAUUCUUUUUUUUUUCUUUUUUUCUUCUUCUCUCUUCCCUCCGCUGGUGUCAGGCGAGGGCGGCCCUUGGCUGAGUCAAGUUAGGGCACCCCUCACCCAAUGUUGGGGAGGGUACCCCUUGCUCGAGUCUGGCAGGGGUGCCCUUGCUAGGCCCUCGUCAGCGUCGGGUGAGGGCACCUAUCGCCCGACCUAGCCAAGGGCCGCCCUCAUCUAAUGCCCGUGAGGGUAGCCCUAGCCAGCCCAGGCAAGGGCGACCCUCACCCAACGCCGGCGAGGGUAGUCCUCGCCGAACACCAGCUUCCUUCCGCCAUGGCUGGCAGAGGGAAGAGAGAAGAAGAAGAAAAAAAGAAAAAGGAAAAACAGAAAAAUUAAGAUGAAAAUGCCAUUCGUUGGGUAAAUAUGUCACAAUUUACAAAGUUUGGGGUUUUUCAUGUCACAAAAAAAAAGUUUUGGAUAAAUUUGUUACUUUAGGCAAAAUUUGGGGUUUUUUGUGAUCUUUUUCCUAAAAUAAAAUGUCAAAAUUUUGGGGAAAAAAAUUGAAUAACCUAAACCAAGGAGAUGAAAUAGACCAUGGCGACCCUCCCCUUGCAAGAGCAAAGUGCAUGUAUGCCCUCACCUGCCUGUGGUGAGCGUUGUCGGCGAUGUGAAAAGCCUUGCUGCCAUGGCAAUCUCUCUCUUUUGCUUAUUUACUUUUCUUUUUUUUUUUGCUUAUUUACUUUAAACAUUUUUAUUAAUAAUAAUUAACCUAUUUUAUGAGGUGGUGCCCAUAGUGGUACCACGUCAGUGCUACCUAUGACAAAAGUAACAUUAUAAAGCACGACCUCGAAUUCGAACAUGCCGGAUCAACAAAAUUGCUUAUACGGUUACCAGAAGGACUUAAGUCAUCAUAUCGAGUAUUUUUAUAACUUGCUUAAACAUUAUAUAAAUAAUUAAGACUUUUGGUCCCCUUUAUUUUACGAAUGAUACUGGUGAAGUAUAUUACAUACUUGAUCUUUCGCACAUAGAUAAAUUCCUCAUGGUAAUUGACUAACCAUACUUUUAAAACUUGAAAGAAGUUACUCUUUCAAUGAAACGUUAGUAAAUUCCAUACAGGGAUGAUAUUUACUAACCAUACAUGUAAACUUUCAAAGUUGGUAAUGUACUAAUUAUUUUAGUGUAGGUAAUCUUUUGUUGGUGCUUUACUAAUUAUACUAGUAACAAUUCAAGCUGAUUAGUUACCAACUUAUUAAAAUGUUGGUAAAUUAUCACAAUGUUCGUAGUUUGCUUACCAUAUUAGUAAAAAUUGAAAAUUACUAAUUCGUUGGAACGUUGGUAAAUCUUUGAUAGUGUUAGUAAUAUACAAACAAGUUACUUGGCAUUCGAGUUACCGGUUACAAUCUAAUCACCGACAUUGUUAGAAUUUACUACCAAUUUCAUAAAUAUAUUUACAACGGAAAAUUUUCCAGCUUUUCCCAUGACUAGACCCUAGACUCGUCCCCUUUAAUGUGGUUAACUACAGGUUCAUCGAGGCUUCUAAAUUCCAAAAUUGCCCUCCAUGCAUAGGAGAAAGCUCAAAUAGGGAUGGCCCGUGGACUUCUCCCUUUCAACUCUAGAUUUCUCACACGGCCAGACAUUACAAAGCAUGCCCAUAUGAGUAUAGCUCGAUUCAAUGAAUCGCGUGUAGAACUCAAUUCUCAGCAUUCGUGUCUGGUGGAAGAUUGAUAAUCAAGAAAGGAGAAGGGUCGAUUUAGUUGUUCUUUUGAUAUACUUCUGAGAUUAUAGAGAUUGAAGUGUCCGCUCUACCGAGUGUUAUUUUAAAUUCACUUUCUCCUCAAUUAUACCCAAAAUUUGCUUUUAAUUUUAAAUUGAUACUUAUAAUCAAUCAAGUCAUGCACAUAAAUUAUGACAAAAGUUGCAUGUUUUAUAUCUUGAUUAUGGGUCAAAAUUUUGCUUGAUUCUAUGGAUAAAUGGCAUCUAGAUGCCACUCGAUGGUGAGAUAUUGACUUGAUUAUGUUUGAAAUCAUGCUUUAUUUUGUGAGAAAUUGCUAGAAAUCCUAUCAUCUCGAUACCACUUAUGGCUGAAGCCUUAUGGGAAGCCCUCAACAACUUUUUUUUCUAAAAGGCACAAAGUACUUAUACUUGAGUCAGACAACUUGCAAUUAGUCAAGGCCAUGGACAAUUCGAAACAGUUGAGUUGUCUCCAAGUGCAAGGACAGAUUGAGGGCUUUCUCAAAUGUUCAAAUUGUGAAUUGCUUUAGAGAGGCCAACCUUAUUGCGGAUUGGGUAGUCAAAGCCCAUAAGAAAAAUUACUUAUCUUCAAAUUGGGUCUUGUCCUCUCCUCAAAUUCUUUGGGAGCUUUCACGUAAUGAUGCACAUUUAAUGGGCCUCUCAUCUUUGCUAAGUAAAUGAAAUAUUUCCAUUUCUGGCAACAAAAAAAAAGAUACCACUAAUGGCGAGAUCAUGCUACUGAUCGCCUUCUAUUUUCUCUUAGAACCCAUAAUCAAAUCAAACACCUAACAAACAACAAUGGUCACCGUUUGAGGAGAGAGGGGAGCAGCGAGAAAGAACAACUUUGCUUUAUCCAUCGUCAUGGUGGGAUGGAGCCGCCAUUGUGGUGAGAUUAGAGGCAGCGAGAUAGAGUAAUGAGAGAGAAAUCGAAAGAGAAUGAAAAGCUUAUCAUUGGGAGUAAUCGGGGCAUUGAUGAGGAAUAGGUCUUUACCCACAAAUCACUUUCCAAGUCAUACGUAUGGACUUGGGAUAUUACAACUAUGGAGGGAAGUCCCAUACUGCAAGCUCUCUCAACAGUUAGACGAAUAGAUACUGAUGCAUGAUCAGUACUGAGUAGAUAAGAUCAAGAUAAAUACCCAAAUUGUAAGGAAACAACAACAAUAAUAAUAAUACAAUGUAAAAGGGUACAAGAUUGACAAAUGUCCUAUCCCCGGAGAAGCAUAGUUGGUACCCGGCAUAAUCACUGAUAAAAUAAGUGAGGCUGAGAUUAACAUCUAUAAAGGACCUCAAACACUGGUAUUAUCCUCUAGUUUGGAAUACUGAUCAGUGCUCUCGUUAAAGAGAUCUGCGAGAUCAAUACCAUCGCUUGGAGAAUAUGACUUACACCAAAAUCCAUCACUAGGUUUGUCAUCAUGUUGACAAUCAUCAUGAGACAAAUAUUGCUCUUCGCUCAUUUGAGGCUGCUGAUCAGGAAUUGGCAAAUUAGAAUUCGACAUCUCGUUCGGAAAGGGGAAUUCAACAGUAACUCCAGGAGAUGCCUGAGUGACAAAAAAGGAAAACCGAAGGAAUAAUCAGUACUCGAGCUUUAGUAUGAUUAGUUGCAUCUCUAGAUCACAUGUCUCUUUGUAUCAAUCAAAGCAACACUUGCUCACCUGUGCACUAAUAUCUUGUGUUUCUUCAUUUUGGGAAUCGUUCAGAUUACUAGGGCGUCUUAAAUCAGUUGAAGUACUCGCUGUUGCUGACUUUGCUUUCUUACUUUUCUUGUUUAUAAUGUGACAGAGAACCCACGCUGCCUACAAGGACAAUGAUACCAGGGAUGAGUUUCAAAAUUACAUAACCGAAACAACACUGUUGCGCGAAANNNNNNNNNNNNNNNNNNNNNNNNNNNNNNNNNNNNNNNNNNNNNNNNNNNNNNNNNNNNNNNNNNNNNNNNNNNNNNNNNNNNNNNNNNNNNNNNNNNNNNNNNNNNNNNNNNNNNNNNNNNNNNNNNNNNNNNNNNNNNNNNNNNNNNNNNNNNNNNNNNNNNNNNNNNNNNNNNNNNNNNNNNNNNNUCGAUCUUCCUCAUGAAAUUCUACAAAUAUUCCAGGAAAGGUUCCAAGUCGGGGAUACUAUUGUUCAAAGUUAAAGUGGAAUUGAAGGUAAAUUGCGCUUAAAUCAUGGGACUGAGGGACGAAACAGAAAAUUAAGAACUCAGAAAGCCAGAAACUUCAAGAAGCUGAAUGAGGAACAUAUGUAGAUAAAUGAUGCUAUCAAUUUUACCU